AUAUAUCUGACGUUCGCUUAAUACCUUUGUCUGGAUAUGCUGAUCUUGAUGGCAUUGUCCAGGUCAAAGUAAACAACACUUGAGGUGCUGUCUGUGGCAGAAACUUUCCAGUCUCCGCCGGAAGAAUAGUCUGUCGCAUGUUAGAUUAUUGGUAUAUAAGCACUUCAUUGUGGAGAUCUGACCAAAGAGAACUUCCAGCAUUUGUCGAUCAGCUGCAAUGCAAUGGAUCGGAAGAACAUAUAAACAACUGCAGUUAUGUCAUACCACACACUUGCAAAUAUAACAGCUAUUUUUAUUUUGCGUACGUUGAAUGUAAAUGGUAUAAGCUAAAUAUCAAGGGAAUACGAUUGGCAGGAACGCCAGGUCCAUAUCACGGUCGUGUUGAGAUAGAGGUUAGUAAAACUUGGGGAACAAUCUGUGACAACGGCUUUGAUUCUAACGAUGCACGGGUUAUAUGUCGCAUGCUUGGACUGGAGAUGUACACGUAUUAUCACAAGGCACACUAUGGCCAAGGUAGUGGGCCAGUAUAUAUUGACGAACUGGCUUGUUCAAGCUCACACUGGCAUAUCAAUGAUUGCAGAUACAUAUCGGAGCAUACAUGUAAACACCUGGAUGAUGUUUCAGUAGUCUGUUAUGGACCUAAACUUAAUAUAACUGAUGUACGGUUGGCAAAUGGUACUGGUCCGUACGACGGCCGAGCUGAAAUAAAGGUCAAUGGUACAUGGGGAACAAUAUGUGACAAUACCUUCAAUAUAAAUGACACUGAUACAUUUUGCAACAUGCUUGGAUUAAAAGGUGCACAGUUUUUUCCCGGCGCAAGACAUGGAGAAGGUAGCGGACCAGUUUACGUCGACGAAUUUUUCUGCACUUCACAAAAUACAGACCUUAGUGAUUGUCGUUACUUGUUCCAGAAUUCGUGUAAACACGAUAGAGACGUUUCCGUUGUUUGUAAUGAAUGCGGUCAACCUGAUAUCUACUACUGGGGUGUAGGUUACUUCAGUUACAAUGGGACAACAUUAUACGCUGACUGUUCGUACUAUAAAACAUAUAUGGGAACACUACAAAUGACGUGUGAUAACGUAACAAAACAGUGGAUUACCGAGGGACGGUGUCAAGAAUACAGUUAUCCUUUGGAUAUAAUGGACAUACGCCUGGCUGGUGGAAAUAGAAAUAGUCAUGGCAGAGUUGAGCUGAAAGUAAAGGGUACAUGGGGAACAGUGUGCGACCAUGGUUUCAGAAUAGAAGAAGCGAAUGCAAUAUGCAGUAUGAUAGGAUAUUCACCGGCCUUUGAAGUUUUUUCUGGUGCAUAUUUUGGGGAGGGAAAUGGUCCGAUAUUUGUUGACGAUCUAACCUGUUUACCUGGUGCUUCCCACAUCAACAACUGCACAUAUAUUACAUAUGACAACUGCCAACACUCUAAUGAUGUGUCCGUUGUAUGUACAGACUGUGGUGAUCCAAAACCACUGAAUGGAUUCAUCAAUUCAACUAAAACCAGUUACGGAACUGUUGUAAAAGUUACAUGCAGUGAGGGUUUUAAACUAAUUGGCAACGCUGUGAUAACAUGUGAACUCAGCAAUUCUUGGAGUGACUCACAAAUAUGUAAACUUACUGCUAUUUCAGAGGUCGUAUCCGUUUCUGAUAACACGGCAGAUUCUUCAAAUGUUGUUGCAUUAAUUGGAGUUGGAGUUGGAGCUGUGGCAGUCACUCUUCUUACUGUUGGAAUAGUGAUAACAAUAAGACGAUGCCUAAGACAUGAUCACCGAAGAAGUCACACAUCAGGUACUAUGAGAGUUUCAGUAAACACACACAUGAGCUAACAGAUGCCCAACAGGAAAUUGUUAGAUCAGUCAAUGAACCUCCGAAUAUAUCAUCAACAACAGAUUCUGGCUAUGUGAAUACAGGAUUCCCAGUAUAUGAAGAGUUAAAAGAAAGUAACAAAGAUUUAACUACUUACGAUCGUAUUGGUGGUACUAACAUAAGCUAGGCUUAACAUAUUUCUGUACUCGUGGUGGAGUAUUCUGUCAGAGUGUAUUGAUGCGAUUUCUUCAUAACUCUGUUUGUAAAUAAUUAUGUCCUUGCUGUGUUAAAAUACGAACCUGUAUCGGAGUAGCCACAUGCGGCAAGCUUCUGUACAGUAUUAUUUUUACACUCAGUGAGAUUUUUAUAUGGAGAAAGAGAUCAUAGGAAGCAUGUCAGUUUCUAGAAAACAUUUCUUUGUACAAUUAUUGUACGAUGAAUGUGCUCUAUUCAAAAGAAUGAGUUAACGUAACAAGUGUAUAAUACGUUUAUGAAUUCUUUAAACGCUUCAGUUAGAAAAGAUAAUUGUUUUCCAGCCAUAGUUAAAGACACACGUACUUUAAAGCUGUGUUUAAACUGGUAGAGAAGUGAAUUCAUUUAUGUAAUUACAUUUUUAAAAGUUUUAAUGUUGACCUUUAUGUAAGAUCAAUGAGGAAGACGAGGGAAGUAGAGAAUUCGUGAAAUGUAUUAAUCUGAGAUCAUGUCAUAUAUGCGAGAGAUUCUCAACGUAUUUUUUACUUAUAUCGAAGGUUGAGUUAUCGUGCUUGUGCAUUUGUAAAUAGAAUGUAAAAGCUGUUUGGUAAAUGACUUUUAUUG
rnacentral:misc_RNA from 1 species